ensembl:lncRNA
GUGGACUAAAUUUGAACAAAAUUCCCAGGCUGUAGGUACUCAACAAACACUGGACACCCUCAGAAUGUCUGAUCAACGACUGAAAGGUGGCUCACAGGGUCUCCAGGGCAGCCCUCUAGGUGGUGGUCCUGAGGGUCCCGUGAAAGGAAGAGCUCUGAAGCUGCCUGGGCCAGUGAGAGGCCACCACACCCGAGUCCCUACACGCUCUGGCGUUCCGGCCCUCGGAGUGGGCGGGAAGGAGGGCGUGACCGCCUUUUCAAGGCUGGGGCCAUCCAUGCCUAAUACCUGUGACGACAGGACUCCCGACAAGGGACGGGUACGGCGUGUGUCGGGCGAUAUCCGGGAGUUCCUAUGUGAAGGAGAAGACCUAGAAGGAGCGCCUGAGUAGCGACCUUGGGGAUGCUGCGGGAAGACUCGGCGGACCGAGCGGUUAGCCCCCCAACCCCGCGCCCCGCAGAGAGACCGAGGCGAAGGGAGCGAGCGCGCGUGCGCACUGGCGCGCGCCCCGUAGGAAAAAGCCCAGCGCGCGGUUCCGCGCGCGCGCGCGUUCGAAAGGGCGGGGGAGUCUCCCCCGCGGGUGCCCGCGGCAUUUAGGCCGGUGUUGGCCGGCGAGCGCGCGUGCGCGAGCGCGGAAAGACACCCUCCUCAGCCGCUCCCCUCCAUUGGGGGUCUAGCGCACAGCUCCGCUGUCCCCGCCUCUCCCGAGGCUCGCGCCCUCGGGGUAAGUACCUCGCGCCUGGCGGAGAGCGGGGUGAGUCCGCCGGAGGAAGGUUGGAGGCGGACAGGUCUGGGAGAAAGGGAAAAACCGCCCUCGCGGAGCGAAGAGCUCGGCUACCGGGCAGGAGUCUGCAGAAGGCACGCCUCCAUCCCUCACGCCCCUCGGGGCUGCGGAAGUACUCUGGAGACUGGAGCGGCACGGAGGCGACAGGUGGACUACCCUUCCCAGAAGGCAGCGCGGGGCUGCGCCUACUGCUCCCGGCAAUACCUGCGCGCCAGGCCUUCCCCCUCUCCCCCCCCCCCCCCCUUUGGUGCCCCCCAGGGGGCAACNGGCUUCGCGCAAAGCGGCUUGGAAGUGGGCAGCCUGGAAGUCACUCGGGCCACCCGAGCUGGCGGCGUCUCUAGCGAACGGCGCGGGGCCGGACGCCGCGGUCGUGGGGCCCGCAGGGCGGGCAGCAGGGACGCCCAGAUGCUGGGAACUUAGAAUAUGGGAGAGAGGAGGUACCAGGCAGAGGCUGCCUGGCCUGGGACACAUCCUCAGUGGUAAGUUAACACGAGAUUGUGACUCAGGGGCCAGAAAUAAGCAGAGCUAUGUCCAUCUGUGUGUGCACAUAUGUGAGAGAGACGAACACACAGGGGGACACGGACAGGUGUGAACAGAGACCUAGAAACAUGGGAUAGCGAUGCAGAGAGAUGGGGUCGAGGUGGAAAUUGAUAGGGACACAGAAAUAGGCCAGUUGCCUGGCUGGCUAGUGGUUGAUUAACUGGAUGAUUGGUUGGUUAGUUGGUUAUCUGGUUGGCUGGCUAGUUGGUUUUCUGGCCAAGUGGCUGACUGGCUUGUUUCUCUUUUCUUUUCUUUUCUUUUCUUUUCUUUUCUUUUCUUUUCUUUUCUUUUCUUUUCUUUUCUUUUUUUCUUUUCGUUUUUCUUUUCUUCUCUUUUCUUUUCUUUUCUUUUCUUUUCUUUUCUUUUCUUUUCUUUUCUUCUUUCUCUCUCUUUCUUUUUUUUAAUGGACUCAGCAGAGACUUAUGGAGCACUCCCCUGAUCUCAGCACUGCUUUGGACCUGGGCAAAGAGUGGUGAACAGUGGCUGCCAGCAUUUGGGUGUCUGACCACUGCUCCCUGCCCCUCCCCCUGUGAAAGUGCUGUGAGUGCAGCCAUCGAGUUGUUCUCGUUGUUUCUCAGAUCCUGAGUAAGGAUGUAUACGUGCUUCUUCUGUGCCCUUACCACGGGGAGUGGUAUCUUAGGGGGAUCAUCUUGGGCUCCUCUAGCAGUGCGACAAGGUGGCACUGCUGCCUGCUCUGGUCUGUGUUGGGGCCACAAUGUGAUCCCAGGACCCCAGCAUGAGCCUGAUUUCUGUCUCAAAUCACCGAGGGAUGGAGAGUGGGCAUUUAUCGAGGCCCAUCAUGUUCACAGCUCUGUCCCGACUUUUUAGAGAAGACAGCAGCUCUGGUGGCCAUAGAGUCACCACCUGGUUCCAGUCCUCCCUCUGCCUUUUACCUCAUGGGAAGCUUGCCCCUCUGAGUCUCUGUGUUCCCGUAUGUCAACGGGGGAGAACAGUAGGGCCUUACCCCGGGAUGCUGCAUGGGCUGAGGAGGGCCAAGUAUGAGGCCAGUGUUUCUCAGUAGGGUCGCCAUUAUUACGUAUAGCUUUGGGUACCCGACCGUUGGAGCAAGCCUCCAGUCUGGGCUCCUGGUGGCAUUAAAUGCCAAUUUUUGCUCUUACUUUUGACAGCUUGUCUCUCAAGUUGGUCACAGGGCAGACCCUGGAGUCAGCCAGAGCCAGGUCUAGACCCCCAUUCCUCUUCUCAUCCUCUCUUUGACCUUGGGCAAGCACUGUCCCCGCUGAGAAGCUCAGUUUCCCCAUUUUGUAAUGGAGGUGAUGGGAACACUGCCUCAGUGGACCAUUAGGAGGCAGGUUCUGUAGCAGGUGCUCCACCCCAGCUGGGCCUGGCCCUCAGCAACCCCCGGGGGUCAGGGGCAGGUAUGCUGAUUUCUGCUGGCAGAUGGUGCCCCCCCAGGAUAACAAGGUUUACUCCCCUCCCCUCCCACCACAGGGAGCCUUUUUGUUUCUGUGUCCUGUACCCCCCACCACCCCCAUCCCUCCACAAAGCUCCUCAGGUGAGGAGAAGCAGAGCCAGAGAUGCCCCCAGCCGGCCCCCUAGAACAGGAUGGAAAGAACAGGGCUUUAACAGAUGUUCUUUGACAAGG